rnacentral:lncRNA from 1 species
GCUAAGCCUUCAUGCUCCAUCACACAGAGUAAAGAGCUGAUUCUCAAACGGUAAAUCAUGAAACUGCUGCUUAAGCACAUACAGUUCAGAAAAGCAGCUCCAGAAGGGCCAAGCAGUUGCCUGGAGAAGAGGCUGGGCAGAGGGCGCACAGCCAGGACAGGGGAUUUCAGAAGUGAGCCUUUGCUGUGAUUCGAUUUUUUUUUUAAUCUAUCAUGUAUGCAAUUCUUUUGUGAGGAAUUUAAGGGACACUGAGAGGACUUCUGUGCAUGGGCUCACACCACAGGGGAAGGUGAUUCACAGUGUUGCAGAGGCCUGUGUGGCUGUUGGUCUCCUGUCCAAGGACCCGUGCUUUAGUGCAGGUUGAUUUAAUCUUUCAUUCUUGCUGCUGCUUGUCCUGCUGGGGAGUGAAUCACAGGUCUUACAUGCGAUAGGAAAGCAUUUUGUUACUGAGCUGUAUCCUUCCACCUGACUCCACAGGGUACCACUAGGGUGUCCAGGCUGUCCUUGAACUUGUAUGCAUCCUGCCUGAGCCUAAGGCAUCUUAUUCUUACCCACUAGGCUCUUUGCUGGCUCAGUGACAGGAGCCCUGCCCUGAGAAGGCUAGGAAUGACCCAGGCUCUAAGGGAAGGAAGUAAUUAGAUCUCUUUCUCUCAGGCUGUCUCUUCUGCUUACUCUCUGCUGCUGGAAUGGGGUAGCAAAUGAGCUGCCAUAGCUCUACCUGCCCCUACCACCCCAUCGUCUCCCAGGACAAGCGACUCCGUAACACCCAGGCUCAGAAAAGACCUUCCUGCAUUAGUAAAUGAGGAUUCUCUGGAGAUGAACAGAAAUGCAGUGAACGUGGCCGCGGGAGACUACAACGGAGUGGACUGAUUGGAGGCCGUGGUGGUUUCUUCCCACUCACUCUUCGGCUGUUCUUGAACUCAGUAGCAGGACCUAGGAGGCAGUUAGCAACGAUUCCAGGAUUCCACGACAUCUUGCCCUGCUGCCUGCUGUUCCCUGGAGCCUCAGUUGCCUGGCAAGCACACAGCAGGGCCGCGAUUCUCCGGGGAUUAGGUUUCUCCAUCCUCAGUGUGGGAAUGAGACUGUUUCCUCCCUCACAGGUGGCCGCAAGGAAUUAUAAACCAAUAAAGUGAUUGCUUAGCAUAUGGCUGAA